UACGUAGGGCGCAAGCGUUGUCCGGAAUUAUUGGGCGUAAAGAGCUCGUAGGCGGCUUGUCACGUCGGGUGUGAAAGCCCGGGGCUUAACCCCGGGUCUGCAUUCGAUACGGGCAGGCUAGAGUGUGGUAGGGGAGAUCGGAAUUCCUGGUGUAGCGGUGAAAUGCGUAGAUAUCUGGAGGAACACCGGUGGCGAAGGCGGCAUCCUGGACCGGUAUUGACGCUGAGGCGCGAAAGCGUGGGGAGCAAACAGG
rnacentral:rRNA from 1 species